rnacentral:lncRNA from 1 species
UUCGUUGCUCUUGGGUGGCCGCGGCGCCCGCUCCCUCUGAAUUCGCCGGGCAGGGAUACAGCCGCCCGGGGCCUCUUGCUCGUGCUUGGUUUUCCGGACCUUGCUUCCUAAAGGGUCUUUAGGGGUUCCCGGACUCCUCCGCCUGGGAGCCUCUAUCCGCCUGGGAGCCUCUAUGCGCCCCGCAAAGCCCCCGGCAGAGCCGAGGGGAGGCUUCAUUGGCGACCUGGUGGGGCCUCGCGGCCCUGCUCCCUGACGUCAGCGCCGCCGCGGUGAUUUAACAGCUUUUGUUUUGGGCAGAAGAACCUAUGGGCACAAAAAGCAGGAACGAGUAGCGGUGGCUGAAGAACGAGCAGGAGCUUGAAUUUCAGUUUUCUUAUGAGGAAUUUUCCAGAAAAGAUAUCUUCACUGUGAAAUAACUAAAUAAAUGCCCACUCAGUACAGUCACUGUCUCCCUUUUGGAACUUGAUGGCACCUUAAGCCCAGGUUUGCCUCCACUCUAGAAACUCAUCAGAGUGAUGCCCUUCUCAAAUGGGGGAGGUCCCAAAGCGGAUAUCCUGGCAGUGUGAAAGGCCGGCUAAAGCUUUCCCUGCACUCCAAACACAGAGCUGAGACUUCCACCUAAUGUAGAAAGCUAGCACGAGCCGGCGCUGACAGAUGGAAGACUUGAGAUGUUACAAGAUUAUAUAUGGAAACACAAAAGGAGUGGAGUUGCUGGGUCAUAUGGCAAUUCAUUUGAGGAACUGAGAAGCUUAUUCCAUGGAGGCUGAACUGUUUUAUAUUCCCACCAGCAACGUGUAAGGUUCCAGUUUAUCUACAUCAUCACCAACACUUGCUAUUUUCCAUUUCAUUAAUGAUAGCCAUCCUAGUGGAUUUGAAGUGGUACCUUAUUAUCGUGGUUUUGAUUGCAUUCUCUAUUGACUAAUGAUAUCGAGCAUCUUUUCAUGUAUUUUUUGGUCAUUUGGUCAUUUUUCUUUUUUAAUUUUAAAAUUUUGAGACAGGCUCUCACUAUGUUGCCCAGGUGGUCUCAAACUCCUGGGUUCCAGCGAUGCUCAUGCCUCAGUCUCCCAAAGGGGUGGGAUUACAGGUGUGAGCCACUUUGCCCAGCCCAUUUGUAUAUCUCCUUUGGAGAAUAUCUAGGUUCUUUUGAAGGUAGCUGCAUAUAAACUAGCCAAAUUAACAGACUGUGGUUUUUAGAUGGCUUUCCAUAUCUACAAGAACUAUUUAGUUCUCAAAACUGGGAAGAAAUGUUUCAGAGGCAUCAUUAAUUCAUAAUCUAAAAAUUUAUCUUGGGUUUCCUUUUUUCCCCCAGAUUCUGUAUCCUCCAUAGUCCUAUUCAUGACAUGGGUCGUUCAUCUCUGUAUUCUAAACCCUCAAUGAACUGUAGACAGUAAUAAAUAUUUAUUGGAUGAAUGG